AAGACCUUCAGGCCAUAACCCCAACUGGGAGUGGGGAUGGGCCAAAGAGGUGACCAGGCACUGAGGAGGAGCCCGGAGGUGGAGGUCAGGAGCAGCUGGAAGAGCAGGAGGAGCCCGGAGGUGGAGGUCAGGAGCAGCUGGAAGAGCAGGAGGAGCCCAGAGGUGGAGGUCAGGAGCAGCUGGAAGAGCAGGAGGAUCCCGGAGGUGGAGGUCAGGAGCAGCUGGAAGAGCA
rnacentral:lncRNA from 1 species